AGUGAACGCUGGCGGUAGGCCUAACACAUGCAGGUCGAACGGCAGCACAGUAAGAGCUUGCUCUUACGGGUGGCGAGUGGCGGACGGGUGAGGAAUACAUCGGAAUCUACUUUUUCGUGGGGGAUAACGUAGGGAAACUUACGCUAAUACCGCAUACGACCUACGGGUGAAAGCAGGGGAUCUUCGGACCUUGCGCGAUUGAAUGAGCCGAUGUCGGAUUAGCUAGUUGGCGGGGUAAAGGCCCACCAAGGCGACGAUCCGUAGCUGGUCUGAGAGGAUGAUCGGCGACACUGGAAGUGAGACAGCGUCCAUACUCCUGCGGGAGGCACCAGUGUGGAAUAUUGGACAAUGGGCGCAAGUCUGAUCCAGCCAUACCGCGUGGGUGAAGAAGGCCUUCGGGUUGUAAAGCCCUUUUGUGGGGAAAGAAAAGCAUCAGGUUAAUACCCAGCUGUUCUGACGGUACCCAAUGAAUAAGCACCGGCUAACUUCGUG
rnacentral:rRNA from 1 species